GGCUCGAACCGUCGGCGAAUCACAAGCGAGCACCAGAAAGCUCCGGCUCGCGGCCCCGCCCACCGUUCGCCCCGCCCCGUCCUUCUCCUUCGCCCCCUUGGGUUCGUUCCCUUCCUGCUGGGCUCAAGUAGGUCAAGGCAAGGUGAUCCCAGGGAGACAGGCAGUGCUUGGGGCGCGCCUCCUUUUACUUAGCGCGCGGUCGUCUCCUUUCCUCGCCUCGCACCCUCACUUCACCCUUUCGGACUGUGCCGGAACUGGUUUGUUCCAGCCGCCCUCACCUGUUCUGCCUCCCCCUAGAGGCACGACAGCCGGAGAUCGGACGUGGGAGAUUAGAUUUCUCGACGUCAAAUUUACAUCUAGGCAACCGCCCUAGACUGGGGCUGGCCACAGUGGACCCGAAAGUCUGCGGUCGGCCGUGGGCCCCUACCUUUGUUGGAGGGUGGUGGUGAGUGAGGAGGGGGCGUGGAGAUUGUGAGUGAGAAGAGAGGCACGCUGGGGGAAGAAGGGGUGAGAGGAUUCAGUAAUAGAAAAAAAACCAUUGGAGGGGUCAGAGAAGGCCUAUUCUAUUAGUGUUGCUAUAAAAACCUCCGGAUUUCUGUUUUGUCCGAGGGCGGCUAUCCCUUCAGAGAACAGUCCGUUCUUUGCUGGUCUUGCCCUCUUUUGGAAAAAGAAAAUAGCCUGGAGAAUCUGCAGUCCCUAUCAUAACCUUCUGGGGCCAUUUAGACCUCAUACCAAACCUAGUUAUCCACCCUGCCACUUUGCCCCCAAGAGGCAAACCCGUUCCAGGGACACAUGAGGUAUACUGGGCUCUGACGGCAACUUCAUGUGACUGAAGAGCAUGCUGGAAAGUUUCCUAGAUUAAAGGCAACUCCAGACUCGAGCCUAUCCAAUUACUAUAUAAUCCAGAUGAAAACUUCAAAAUGGAACACUGGCAAUUUCAACCCUAUAAGUGUCUGGAAGAGACCAGAAUGAAGGACAGUGAGAACAUGAUGGAAUUUUAUGAGUCAAGUGCACUGGGCUUUCUAAACUACUGAAGACAGAAAGUCUUAAAAUUGUUAUCUAAGGGUUCCCACCCCUAAGAGUGAUCCCUCCAGGCUGUGCUCCUCCAAAUUGGUACCCUCAGGAGCAGAAUUGUCAAGUAAGAUGUUUUCUUUCCCAAUCACCUCUUCUCUAAUGUCUUACUAGAGAGAAAAAUGUGGAAGACAUCUGUGGUGGCAGUGGGUCCCAGUAGUACCGUUCAGGGUGACCAGGUCCGUGACACCCUUCUCUUCCUUCCACACUUCUCUCAAUGCCUUGCUCCUAUCUCUCUUUCAAGACACAAUUAGCACCUUGCCACUUCCAAGAAGUGGGCUAGUAUCAUGGGAAAAGUGCUGGACUGAAAGGUCUAGGCCCAAAUCUUGGCUCUGUUCCUUAACUAUUUAAGGAAAAUCUCUUGUCUUCUUGAUGACUGUGUUUUCUAAUCCUUAAAAUGGGAACAAUAAUACUUGCUUCACAGCAUUGGAUACUUGGCACGUGGUGGGUGGUAAGUAAAUAUGUAUGUAUGUAUUUAUUUAAAUGCCUCCGCCAGUAACUCCAGCAUACCUAACUUCUCUUCCAUCUUCCUGAGCCCAGGGCACAUCAGUUUUAACACUCACUUGUCACCACCACGGGAUAGUUUUGUACUUGCAGACUUAAGAGAUGAGUGGUUUGAAUCUUUGAAUACAUAACAGCACUUCAGACUCUUAAGUAGGGUGUUCCUCUGCCCUCAGACAUCUUAGAAGUGUUGGAAGAAUGAAUAUCAAAAUCACACGUAUCUUUCAUGGCUCUUUCUGUCAAGCUGAUGUUUCCAAAUAAUGAAGGUAAGUGGUGGAGGUGUGCUGGUGUGAUAGAGGAGUAGGAAAAUAAGAAAGGGAGUGGUUAUUGAGGCAUAUCAAAUAGCAGAGGGAGUAAAUGUACUUCAAAUGACUUUAGAACUAGGGCACUGGAUCUCCCUAGCUAAUAUCCCUUCUCUUUCUCAAAAAGCCCUCAAAUAUGCUGAAGGGAAUGUAGGAUUGUCAACUCAAUCUUUCCCUAGUUUUCCUCGUAGUCCAGAUUCAAGGAAUGUUCUAUUCCAUUAGUGGUGGGAUCCUGAAAAUCAUACUGUUACAGAGAGAGGGUAAUCUGUUCUGCUUUGUACUUAGCUCUAUGGGGGUCAGGACCAUGGUUCAUUUUGUGUCUGAUCAUAGCACCUACCUUUGUAUUUCUGUGAAUGAUUUUUGUCUUCUAAAAAUAUGUAUUAGGUGAA